rnacentral:rRNA from 1 species
AUUGAACGCUGGCGGCAGGCCUAACACAUGCAAGUCGAACGAGUGGCGGACGGGUGAGUAAUGUAUGGGAAACUGCCCGAUGGAGGGGGAUAACUACUGGAAACGGUAGCUAAUACCGCAUACCAUCGGAUGUGCCCAGAUGGGAUUAGAUAGUAGGUGGGGUAAAGGCUCACAUAGGCGACGAUCCCUAGCUUGUCUGAGAGGAUGACCAGCCACACCUGAACUUAGACACGGUCCAGACUCCUACGGGAGGCAUAGGUGGGGACUAUUGAACAAUGGGCGCAAGCCUGAUGCAGCCAUGCCGAGUGUAUUAAGAAGGCCUUCGGGUUGUAAAGUACUUUCAGCUAGGAGGCGUUACUCGCAGAAGAAGCACCGGCUAACUCCGUGCCAGCAGCCGCGGUAAUAC